GUGAGUCAUCGAAUCUUUGAACGCACAUUGCGCCCCUUGGUAUUCCGGGGGGCAUGCCUGUUCGAGCGUCAUUAUAACCAAUCCCGCAAAGGGGCUUUGGGGUCCGCAGGUCUCUGCGGCCCUUAAAAUCAGUGGCGGCGCCAGCGGUGCUCUCAGCGUAGUAAUACUCCUCGCUUGGGAAUCGCGGUUGGUGCUUGCUAGCAACCCAACUACAUAUUAGGUUGACCUCGGAUCAGGUAGGGAUACCCGCUGAACUUAAGCAUAUCAAUAAGCGGAGGA
rnacentral:misc_RNA from 1 species